UACGUAGGGGGCAAGCGUUGUCCGGAUUUAUUGGGCGUAAAGAGCGUGUAGGCGGUUAGGUAGGUCCGUUGUGAAAACUCGAGGCUCAACCUCGAGACGCCGAUGGAAACCAUCUGACUAGAGUCCGGAAGAGGAGAGUGGAAUUCCUGGUGUAGCGGUGAAAUGCGCAGAUAUCAGGAGGAACACCGAUGGCGAAGGCAGGUCUCUGGGCCACUACUGACGCUGAGAAGCGAAAGCAUGGGGAGCGAACAGG
rnacentral:rRNA from 1 species